GACAGAGGGGGCAAGCGUUGCUCGGAAUCACUGGGCGUAAAGGGCGCGUAGGCGGGAUGGCAAGUCGGUCGUGAAAUCCUUCGGCUCAACCGAAGAACGUCGGCCGAUACUGCCGUUCUUGAGGGAUGCAGAGGAGACUGGAAUUCCCGGUGUAGCAGUGAAAUGCGUAGAUAUCGGGAGGAAUACCGAUGGCGAAGGCAGGUCUCUGGGCUAUAACUGACGCUCAUGCACGAAAGCGUGGGGAGCAAACAGG
rnacentral:rRNA from 1 species